rnacentral:rRNA from 1 species
CCUGGCGGCACUAGCGCGGUGGUCCCACCUGACCCCAUGCCGAACUCAGAAGUGAAAGGCCGUAGCGCCGAUGGUAGUGUGGGGUCUCCCCAUGCGAGAGUAGGGAACUGCCAGGC